UUGGUAUGUGUGAAUUGG
rnacentral:snRNA from 1 species